rnacentral:lncRNA from 1 species
CAAACUGUUUGAGGGAGAAUACUCUAUGAUAUGAUUAAGAAUCUCUGGCCAGAGUAUGAAUGAGAUUUAGAAAAGUCGUUCUAAAUCACAUUCAAGGUAAUCAUAUAAGCACACGAAUCACAUUGGACAGUAGACAUGAAUAAAUAAACUAUCAAACCAAACAAUGUGGUCAAGAGUAUUGUAUUAGAGAAAGACAGUAUUGCAUUUGUAAUCCCAAACUGAAUAGGUUUUCUCUACCUCUUCUGAUUAGCUUGGGUAACCAUG